CUUGCUCAUUUCCACCAGCUGUUAAGGCUUGAGAAAUUUGGGAUAUGCAUCUCAUGUACAAUUAUACUGUUCUCUAUUUUAAAAGAUGCUGCAACUCACAGUGCUUGUAUUUUUGUGUUUAUUUCUUGCUAAAGAUAUCUUCGGAUAUAUAGCAUUUCGUACUUUUUAGCAGAACGAGUCGACCUGCAUUGAUUUGAGAUUCUGCCCGUCAGUAACUAAACGACCCUGACUUCAGAGCCCAUGCAGUCUCUUAAAAGCAGAGAUAAGAAGCCAGUCAUUAGACAGCAGAAACUGGAAAAGAAGAAGAAACAUAAGGGAGAGGUGAUCGGGCUGUAUAAAUUCCAUUCCGAGGCAUGAUCUCGCUCUGCGGCCCAGGCUGCCAGGCUGAAGUUAAAUGGCAUGAUCACAGCUCACUGCAGCCUUGAACUUCUGGGCUUAAGCAA
rnacentral:lncRNA from 1 species